UGCGAAGCACGUCUGCACAAUGGCCUCGCAUAGAUAUCGCGGACUGUAAUUACCUGUCCGAUACAAAAUGGAUGUCAAACGAAUAACCGAUUCGCGGUGGUCGUUGGUUACCCUCCACUUUUGGUUGUUGGUUCUGAAACCGAGGUAUUGCUGGAUAUGCGAGCCGCGGGAGUACCGAAUCGCUAUUGCGGUUUUGGCCUGCCGUACGCCACUUGUCUUAUUACUGCCUGCACGUGUGUAACACCGAUGAGAUGUAUGGGGCACGAUAUCCUCGAUUCGAAAUGAAAAUUCAACGGAUAACCAAAAGCUGAAACGAAUUUGAUGCCGAAUCGUCUGGCCUAUUAAAACGGAAAUGAUAUCUCGAUUCCUUAAUAAUGAAAUAAAACAUGGCCAAGAAAGAGUUGCAUAUUUAUGUGCGAGAAAAAUUGUAGAUUAACGGAAUAAUCAUCAAAUGAAGGUACCCUUUAUCCGAGAGAAGGGCAAUGGUCUGUCGUAAAUAUUUAACGCGAAAUUUGACCCGAUUAUCUCUCCAGUCAUCCAAAAAAAAAUGAUCAAAAGUUGAGGGCACCCAUACUUACGAAAAACUUUUAGAUUCUUGAGAACCUUUCACAAUUUCUGACAAUGUGUUAUUUGAAACAGACCGAUAUUAUAUGGACCACAUUGUAGCUUCCUGAACUUUUGAAGAUUAUCAAUGUGAACUAAACCUUAUAAAUAACAUGCAGUCUUUUCUGGAAACAAAACGAAUGAUAUUCUCUAGAUUCCAGAGCAAUAACAAUUUUGCUAAACUUUUGUCACAUCCAUUCCGUUUUAAUGUUAAGAAAUAUUUCUUACAAAGUAGGUAUGUAUGUGGCUGACUUCACAAAUGUCGCGAAUACUAGGAUAUUGAAAGUUUCUGCGGAAGCGGUAGUAAUAUUGUUCCAUUGAAUCCAUCUAGUUCAGCGUUACUUUCACAUUACUGUGCAAAGUAUUUUGCCAAUUUGGUGAGCAUACUUUAGCCUAGAUAUCAAGCAUUUCUUCGGUAACUAGAAACGUAAAUAAGCAUUCUCCCUGAUCGACCGACGGUUGAGAUAGCAUUUUCGGGUUACUCCAGAAUUUGAAUAUUGUGCGUAUGUAUCCGGAUCCCCUUGAACUCAACGCAGCCACGUUAAAGUGUCCAUAGGGAUGGAACGAUAACGCCUCACUACCAUGUAAUCCAAUAUCUAAUCCGAUCAUAGCGAUCGUUCACAAAGAUUAUUGCUAUAGGCGAAGAAGGACCAUAUAUAAGGUACGACGAUUUUCAGGUAGAACUCCGGAAGUGCAAAGGGAUGCAAAUAUCCAAAUUCAGUGGCUCUCCCAGCCUUGGCCCUUUUCCAUGUUUUCGACGGUUUCGAAAAGUUAUGGACGAGCCUUUGCCAGAAGUUUAUACGAAGGUAUACCUACAAGUGUUGUACGUGAGAUGGUUUAAGUCUGACAUCUCAUAUUAUAGCCGAUAUCCUUGAAAUUACAGACUUGAUCGAAUCCACGGUAAUUUUAUUUCUAGUAGUUACUCUUGAAGUGUUAAUUCAUGGACGAUAACAAGGUCGAGGCUAGCGAUACUCUGACAAAAUUUUUGUUGGUGAUGUUGGAAGGCAAAUGGUCACUUGACCAUUACAGGGUAAAUUUCAUCUGCUAUCGAAAGGUGGGAAAAGCUGGCCCUUCGCAAUGCUGAUAAUUUUCUCUCUGGUGACGCAGAUCCUGCUCAGGUAUACUCAUAUCGUCGGGUUUGUCAAAAUUAGCUGGUAAUUUUAAUUGAUUUAUGAUCCGCCUCAUGAAUAUGCAUCGCUCUCCCAUCCUUUCCUGUAGGAGUUCUACACACAUGACGUGUAAAGGUGUAAGCCAGCAUGUAAUUCCUAUAUCUCAACUUGGCAGCCAAACAGGCCCUUUAAUCAUCCGUUAUAUCUUUCCCGUCGAAGAGACGAAGUCGCAGGAUGAUGGAUCCCGGUUCCAAGCGUUUAUUAACCUACCCACGAAAUGAAGAUUGAUAGAACUGUUUCUUAACAUCGGGUUAGAGAUCGAGCUUUUAUCGAUGCUUAUACAAAACUGCCGAAUGAGACGUAAAGCGAGCUCGAAAAAGUGGAGUAAAAAUUUUCGUCGCGCAAACAGUAAAGGUAGGUACGUGUGUGCAUAAAUAUGUGUACGGUUAUAUGAUACCUCGGUCUGAUCACCCUCGCAUUUGAGCCACCGCUCUUUCCUUUCGUUUUUUCUGUCUGUCAGACCGCUUACGCUCACCUCUUUCCAUGACGGUGAAAAAAAAAUGUUUCGACACACCCCGAUGAAUCCAGCGCAUCUCAAAGCCUGAUGGAGCAUGGGUUUAAAUAAGGAGCGUUAAUGUUUGUAGGUAUACGAUAGAUGGCGAGUCCGUUGUCAUUGAAUUGGUGAACCACGUCGUUUCAUCCGUGAUACACCGUUGGAGCUUUUACGUUUGGUUCUUUUAUCCAACUGUUGUCUUAGCAAGGGCGACUUUGAUUCCGUGCCAAAUGGCAACGGAACGGAGAACAAGGACAGUCCCCUGAUACUCACAACAUGGAGUCCCUUGUAGUGUAAAACGAUGGGGAGGAAUAAGAACAAAAAGUUAAGGAAGAUACGAGGGGAAAAGAGGGUGUAUCGAAAGCGUAUAGGAGGCAGAGAUUGGCAGGAGUCGAAUUACGAAGGAUGAAGGAAAUAGGAAAUCAAAAUAGCAAUUUCAUGGUGGCUGGGAAGCUUCCCGUGGAUGAGUUCGAUGCCGACCUAUUCGGGUGAAUGGGAUGUUGACUGAGGAUUCGGCUAGUCGAAAAAGAGGUGGUUGGUGACAUGCCGCAACGCUCGACGAGACAGUCGUGAUUCGAAUCUAGCGGAAAAGAAAAACAGCUGAAAGACCUUUCAGUGCUUCGCCAUUAAGAGCUCUCUUGGUUCUUCACAUUUUCCCAGAUGACAUCAAGAGACUUUGUAGAGUCUCGCGUCAAGUACAUUCAAAACGAACGUGUCCCACUGAGACUGUUCACUGCGACCGAAGCUGAAAAGCGUAGCGAACCCGCAGUUUAUCGAUUACCCAAUCAUUAGCUUUUCGGAAAUUUGCAUGCACUUCCGCUAUUUGAAUCCGGGAAGAGCUUUUAUCCGAACCUAGUUUCAAUUGAAUCAGUACUCGAAGAGCUAACGUGAUAUGAUCAUUGCUGUUCGUUACCGAAGAAGAGGCUCGUGCACAAGACAUUUCCUAACCACUGACCAUGUGAAUGGGUAUACAAAGGGAACUGCAGCUGCAGGCUGGAGUCCUUGGAAUACAGAGGCCCGUAUUCGCAAAUCGCUUUUAACUCCAAAAUUAUUUCUUUGUAGGAAAUUCAACGUAAGAAAAAACUAGUUACACCUUUAGCCCUAAAAACGACUCGUGAAUACGGACCAAAGUCUCGUUGACGCAUCAAAGUUUUUCAUUGGCCGAUUUAGACUCGAGGCAAAGUAACCGUAUUCAAUGCCGGGUACUAUAGAUCAGGGUAGAGUGAAUAAACGCGUAGCAAGUGUGGAACUGUCACUCGGUGCUGCGUUGGAAUUAUAUUUUUAUUUUUAUUUCGUAAUACUUCAUUCAGCAUUUGAAAAAUAGCGAAAAAGAGAAGAGCACAAGUCUCAUUGCUGCAUUUGUAAGUCACACUCUGGCUAUCAUGCAGAUAUUACCUUUCACAGGUAUGUAUAUUAUAAGAAUGUUUUAUACCCAGCCCUGUCUACGUAACCUAAGUCUUGUGUUUCUGAACGUGUUCACCGCAUGACGACAACCUC